UUAAAUAUAUAUAUAUUUGAUGAUUUCUUUACACAGCCUGCACCUGGGGUCUUGCCUAGUGUAAUAGACCCCAGCCUCAAACAAGUGACAGCUUUACUGGAUCACUGACCAAAAGCGCCUUUUCCGGCAGACUGUCAGCUGUUUUUAUUAGUGUGUUUAUUUUGAUUACAAAUGACCUCAUCUUUACUCCUAGGUUCAUGGAUAAAGCAGAGCCCAACUAUCCUUUCACUGCAGGCUCUCAAACUGGGCUGAUUCAAGAUCAACGGGACCACAUCAGUGACAUCACUAAAGUUUCCAGGUCGCUGAAUGUGGAACCACUGGGCAGAAGGAAAAAAGAAAGACCAGAGAGAAGAUUCAUGGAUGCAGUAAAGGAAGACAUGCAGAUGCUUGGAGUGACAGAGGAGGAUGAUAGAGAUAAAGUGAGAUGGAGGCAGAUGAUCUGCUCUGGUGACCCCUAAAGGGAGCAAGAAGAAGAAAAAGAAGAAGAAAUCUAAAGAGUUUUGCCUACUCCAGAAGAAGAGGAGGAGCAAGAAUGUUGUGAUCUCUUGUGUGAGUAGAAAAAUCAAGUGCUUCAGCCUCUAAAUGGGGAAUUUUUUAGCUUUUGAAAAUGGAAAAUGUGCAUUUCAUGAACGUGGACAUGAAUGAGCAGACAUUACAGCGGUCUGAUUAAAAAAAUUGUUUUCAGGGACACAAAAAAACUGGAAAAUUCACGUCCACAAAAACGAAUCAAUGUCUUACAAGUCGUGACUACUUCACAAACUCCUUUGAGACUGUUGUGUUUAGUAUCGAUCUUGAACUGACUCUUCAUCAAACUUUUUCAAUUCCAACCUUAAGUGUUUUUUUUCAUCGUGCAGGGACCCGCUGUAGACAUUAAUCAACAAGAAAUGAAAACAACACAGGCAACAUCUGCAACAUGAAGCUCAAGCAGAGCUUUUUAAAGCACCAAGAGCGAUCGUGGAGUGACAAAGCCGCUCCUGCUGCGUUCUACGAACACCAAAAGCAGCUGGAAACAACCUUUUCCCCAAAUUCACAUCAGCAGAGAUUUAGGCACAAUCUGCAGCGACACAGAAACGGCAGAUUAAAAGUGAGAGCUGAUUCUCUUUUCUUGGACAUCAUAAGCCUUUAAAUAGCAGCCUGCCUCAUUCGGCGUCACACACACUCGGGGACUAAGUUGAGAACAUGGCCACAGUCCAGGAAUAAUUAAAAGCAGGACAACAGACAGACUCCUGUGUCGACGGGACAGAAAUCACCACAAAAAUAACAGCAGGGAAGGGAGACAGACGGAGGCUGCGUUCACAUGUGUCUCUGUGUUGUAACGCUCUCCCUGAUCUCAUGUUUGUUCAGCAACUGUCAGCAGAAAGAUGUUUGUGUUAGAAAAACAGAGGUCAGCUGAUAACGGCAUUCAACCCAUCAAUUUGAAUAUCUGAAUAUUCCUGAGCUGUUAAUUAAAUUUUACAGCAUUUAACCAGAGAUAGGUUUAGUCACACUGGCUGGGCAGCAGUAGGAAUGAUAAUGACAAGGGGAAAAACAGUGAAAUACUGCAGUGGAAUAUAAAAGAAAUGACAAAAGACAAAACACUACCUGAAAUGUGUGGAAAGCAAGCAAGCAAAGGAAACAGGUACAAAAACACACUUUCAUAACAUCGCUGUCAGUUCGUAUAAAGGCCUGUUUACACUGGAUAAAUAUCACCAGGUGACCUCAAGCGAUCUGUAAUAACUGCAGCAGUUGUCUUUGCUCUUAAUCUUGUGCAAAUCUGCCAUGUCUAUAAUCUUCAUAAUAAAAAAAACAUCAAAAGCAGAAGUAAUACAUCUACUCCUGUGUGAGUAAAUCUUUUUUAAAUAUGUUUUUUUCCCAUCCUUUUAAGGGCAGAGCAUCACAGAAGGCUGAUAGUGGAAAUUAUUAAUGAGAGUUUUAAUAGAAUUCUGGGUGCAAAUUCAUGAGGCUCAGCAUGGAGACCCAUUACAUUUCAGUCUCAUCUGCAGAUAAUCCUCUGGAUUUGCUCAGUAAAUUUGGGUGAAUCGCAGACUUCAUUUAUCCUGUGAGAAGGGGCGGGACCAGAGGGAUGGCUAGUGGUGUAGUGUCCCCUCAUACAAUCUGACCAUCCUCCCAAAACAACUACGAAAGGAUGUAUAAUGAUCAGAAAGAGGAGGCAAAGUAAAUACAAAAAGAUGUAAGAUGAUCUUAAGGACAUAAAAUCACCAUGAAGGGAUGCCAAAUGAACACAAAUGGUGUUACAGUGAGCCCAAAGAGACAUGAACAACCACAAUCAGAUGUAAAUGACUUCAGAGAGAAGCAAAAGACAAAACCACCACAGAAGGGAAGCAAAAUGAAAAAUAAAAGAAGAAAAACAAAGACACAAUGUGACCAUAAAGGAAAGGAAAAUGUAGAGAAAAGGAUAAAAAAUGAUGCAGAUAAACACAAAAUGACAAUAAAGGAUAGUGAAAAGGUACACAUGAUUCUACAGAGGGAUGGAAAAAUAUCCAGAGACACAAAACCACAACAGAGAAAAGGGAUGCAAAAUAAUACCAGAGAUACAAAAUUAACAUAAAAAGAUGCAAAAGGACCACAAUGAGAAUCAAAAUGCCCCAAAAACACGCAAUACAAAUACAAAAGGAUAGAAGAUGACCUCAAUGUUAAGCAAAAUGCCCCCAAAAUACACAAACGAAACCAGAGAGGUUAAAAAAAAAAAAAAAAAAAAAAAAAAAAAACGCCAAAUAAAAAGCAAAAUCAUUGAGUAGAAACAUAAAAUGACCUGAACAGGAUGCAAAAUAACCUUAAAGAGAAACAAAAGAAAUGCAAAAUGACUACAAUGGAAUG